GGCCGGUUGACGCAGUUGGUUAGCGUGUGGAGCUAAUACGUGAUCACGUAAUCACUCCAAAGUCAUGGGUUCGAGCCCCAUACGGGCCA